GUUUUAAUAAUUUAACAAAAAUAUUGGUCUUGUAAACCAAAAAUAAGGGACAACCUUUUAAAGCU
rnacentral:tRNA from 1 species